GGCCCAUGAUCUUGUGGUUAAGUCGCUUGAUUGGGACUCAGUAGGUCAUUGGUUCAAGUCCCAGUGUAGCCG